rnacentral:rRNA from 1 species
UACACUCCUGCGGGAGGCAGCAGUAGGGAAUCUUCCACAAUGGGUGCAAACCUGAUGGAGCAAUGCCGCGUGAGUGAAGAAGGUCUUCGGAUCGUAAAGCUCUGUUGUUAGAGAAGAACACGUGCUAGGUAACUACUAGCGCCUUGACGGUAUCUAACCAGAAAGUCACGGCUAACUACGUGCCAGCAGCCGCGGUAAUACGUAGGUGACAAGCGUUGUCCGGAUUUAUUGGGCGUAAAGGGAGCGCAGGCGGUCUGUUUAGUCUAAUGUGAAAGCCCACGGCUUAACCGUGGAACGGCAUUGGAAACUGACAGACUUGAAUGUAGAAGAGGAAAAUGGAAUUCCAAGUGUAGCGGUGGAAUGCGUAGAUAUUUGGAGGAACACCAGUGGCGAAGGCGAUUUUCUGGUCUAACAUUGACGCUGAGGCUCGAAAGCGUGGGGAGCGAACAGGAUUAGAAACCCUGGUAGUCCC